AUGGUCGCCCGUGCCGGGGCGACAUUAGGAGGCGUCGGUGACGUGUGCGGUGCGGAGGCCGCGCAACGUGCUGGUCCAGCGCCUUUGUUCUUUCCGCAUGCCGUCCGGGGAGACGGUGGCGUCGCGGCCGUGCGGACCCGACGGGCCAGAGAUGUCGAGCGGGGUAAUCAAGUGUUUGACAUGGAAUAUGGGAGUGCCACCCUGGAGGACAUUGCAGAAUAUGACACGGUGAUCAGUCAAAUUUUUGGCAGCGAGGAAGAAGGUUACAAUUACUAUAAUGCAUAUGCUCGGUCAAAGGGUUUUGGUGUUAGAAAGGAAGAACUGACUAGGAAGUCGGACACGAACAUAGCUUUUCGGCACCUCUAUGUCUGCUCUAAAGAAGGAUAUCGGGCGAGGAAGCACUUUGAGAAAACUAAACGGGUGCGAACUCCUAGGCCGCUGUCACGUUGUGGAUGUGGCGCUCGGAUGGAGAUCGAGCUUCGUAUGGAUAAUGGUGAAUGGUUUGUAAAAGAUUUUUUGGACGAACAUAACCAUCCACUCGCUAAGCCUGAGCAGACAACUUACAUAAGGUCACAUCGUGGGCUGAGUGACGUGCAAAAGGCUGAUGUCAUUGAGUAUGGAAUUGGUGGCCUUCGAACACAUCAAAUAAUGGAAGUAAUGGAGAAGGAUAGUGGUGGUUUCAGCAAGGUAGGCUUUACACCUCGGGACCUGUAUAAUUUUGUUGCCAAGUACAAGAACGAAAGGAUAGAAGGCCGUGAUGCCGAAUUUGUGCUCCGUUAUAUGGCAGCCCGAAAGGACAUGGAUGGCGAAUUUUUUUACAAGUACACCACUGAUAGUGAAGGGCAUCUGCUGAACAUCUUUUGGGCAGACGCACAGUCUCAGAUUGACUACGAUGCCUUUGGUGGCGUCGUGAUCUUUGAUAGCACUUACCGUGUGAACAAAUACAACCUGCCAUUUGUCCCCUUCAUAGGAGUGAAUCACCAUCGCAGCACAACCGUGUUUGGCUUCGGUAUUGUCUCAGCUGAGACCGAGGCAUCUUUUGUGUGGUUGCUUGAAGCAUUUUUGGAGUCAACUCAGCAGAAACAUCCUAGAUCAGUAAUCACAGAUGGUGACCAUGCAAUGGCGAAGGCAAUAGCGGCGGUUUUUCCCAAUACAGAUCACCGGUUGUGCAGCUGGCACAUCGAGCAAAACAUGAUACGACACCUACGGAAGCAAAAGCUCAAGGAUUUUAGGAAAUUUGUUUAUCACAUCUGGGAUGUCGAUGAGUUUGAGAGACGUUGGGUUGAGUUUAUGGUGGAUUAUGAUAUCUCUGAAAAAGAUGCUUGGAUUAUGACGAUGUACGAGCUGAGGAAGAAGUGGUCUAGGGCCUAUACGAAAGGUAGAUAUUUCCUUGGCAUGCAGAGCAAUCAGCGUAGCGAAAGCCUAAACUCUAGGCUUCAUAAGAAUCUGGAUAGGAGAAUGUCACUUGUUGAUUUGCUAGAGCACUCAGAUCACUGUUUAUCGCGUAUCCGCAAGAAUGAGGCCGAGUUGGAUGCUACAGCUUCACUGACAGUACCUUUUACUGAAUUAACAGCUGAUCCACUUGAGAGAAGUGCUGCUCUCAUUUAUACUCCAGUGAUGUUCAAGAAGGUAAAACAUCAAAUCAUGCAGUUGUCAAAAUGGGAAGUAGCAGAAGUGACCAAGAAUGAUGCUUUUGUUCUGUAUAUAGUUGCUCGCAAAGAGAGUAGGCAUGUGACGUAUGAUGUGAGGUUUGUCAUGGCAGGCCCGUUUCUUCAGAGUGUGAAUUGCCGUUGUCUGAAGAUGGAAUCGGAGGAGAUCCCGUGCGCUCACAUUUUUUCUGUUCUAAAAUACCUUGGCUUAGUCAGCAUUCCUAGGUGUUGUGUCUCAACAAGAUGGACGAUGGUAGGCAAGUCCGCAUUUGACUCAGAGAGGAAUGGUAAUAUGCAUGAAUGGUCUGAGCGGAUGGAUCGUUACCAUGAACUCCGCAACAUUUGUAGUCUGUAUUUAUUCAAAGCUUCAAACAGCCAGGAGACGUCACAGAAGGUGGUGGAUUUUCUCAAGGGUAUUAUAGCUUAA
rnacentral:rRNA from 1 species